GUAUUUGCUUCGGUGGUACAUAUAUUAAUAUUGGAAGUAUACAGAACAUUAGCAUGGCCCCUGAACAAGGAUGACAUGCAAAAUUGUGAAGUGCUGUACAUUUUU